rnacentral:lncRNA from 1 species
CUUCAGUAAUUUUAAGGUUCUAUGGAGGUCAAAGGUCAAAGGUCAAGAGUCUUCAGUAUUCUUAACUCCACAUAAGAAUUUACCAAGUUUUAAGAAUAUUUAGACCAUUUUAAUGACACUAGGAAGGUUCUAUGAAGGUCAGAAUGUCAAAGGUCAAAAUCUUCAGUAAUUUUAAGGUUCUAUGGAGGUCAAAGGUCAAAGGUCAAGAAUCUUCAGUAAUUUUAAGGUUCUAUGAAGGUCAAAGGUCAAAGGUCAAAAUCUUCAGUAUUUUUAAGGUUCUAUGGAGGUCAAAGGUCAAAGGUCAAGAGUCUUCAGUAUUUUUAACCCCACAUAAGAAUUUACCAAGUUUUAAGAAUAUUUAGACCAUUUUAAUGACACUAGGAAGGUUCUAUGAAGGUCAGAAGGUCAAAGGUCAAGAAUCUUCAGUAAUUUUAAGGUUCUAUGGAGGUCAAAGGUCAAGAAUCUUCAGUAAAUUUAAGGUUCUAUGGAUGUCAGAAGGUCAAAGGUCAAAAUCUUCAGUAAUUUUAAGGUUCUAUGGAGGUCAGAAGGUCAAAGGUCAAGAAUCUUCAGUAUUUUUAACCC